UUCUGACCGUAAACGAUGCCAACUAGCGAUCCGCCGGCGGCUUCUUGGCCCUGGUGGGGAGCUUCCCGGAAACGAAAGUCUUCCGGUUCCGGGGGAAGUAUGGUUGCAAAGCUGAAACUUAAAGGAAUUGACGGAAGGGCACCACCAGGAGUGGAGCCUGCGGCUUAAUUUGACUCAACACGGGAAAACUCACCCGGCCCGGACACCGUGAGGAUUGACAGAUUGAUAGCUUUUUCAUGAUUCGGUGGAUGGUGGUGCAUGGCCGUUCUUAGUUCGUGGAUCGAUUUGUCUGGUUUAUUCCGAUAACGAGCGAGACUCCAGCCUACUAACUAGUGCGGGCAUUGUCUCUGUGCUUGUCACUUCUUAGAGGGAUUGGCUGCGUCUAGCGGCACGAAACGGAGCAAUAACAGGUCUGUGAUGCCCUUAGAUGUCCGGGGCUGCACGCGCGCUACACUGGCAAAAGCAACGUGCUUGUCCGCCUCCGAAAGGAGCCGGUAAACCCCUGAAAAUUUGCCGUGAUUGGGAUCGGAAAUUGCAAUUAUUUUCCGUGAACGAGGAAUUCCUAGUAAGUGCGAGUCAUCAGCUCGCGUUG
rnacentral:rRNA from 1 species